UUAAUAUGUCUCUAUAGACAAAGUCUGGUGGAUCCCAGUUAAAGGAAUCUUAACCUAGCAUAUUCACUAUAGGUUUUACCUAUAUGAUUACCUGGGUUUUGGUAUCUUCUAAGAAAGAA